AGUAAAUUGGUUAAGUUAGAAAGGGCGCACGGUGGAUGCCUUGGCACUAGGAGCCGAAGAAGGACGGGACUAACACCGAUAUGCUUUGGGGAGCUGUACGUAAGCGUUGAUCCAGAGAUUUCCGAAUGGGGGAACCCACUAUCUUUAGUCGGAUAGUAUCCUUACGUGAAUACAUAGCGUGAGGAAGGCAGACCCAGGGAACUGAAACAUCUAAGUACCUGGAGGAAGAGAAAGAAAAAUCGAUUUCCUG
rnacentral:rRNA from 1 species